AAAAUUUAACGCUAAAAUAAAAGUCAUUUAGUUUCAAUUUGUUCUUUCAAUUUGACUCAAGAAGUUUACAAAAACCCUACUAUUCUGCUUUCUCACUCCUUCUCUCGCCAUUCUUCACAUUGCAACGCCACAAUACGCCUCGCCCUCACCCGAAAAGCUUCGACCACCACUGGCACCACACCACUCGCCUCUCACACCCGCCGCUACCUUUUCUCUCUCUUUGCUCGACCACACCACCUCUCUCUCUCUCUCUCUCUCUCUCUCUCUCUCUCUGUGUGUGUGUGUGUCUCUCUGCUCGGCGUAUCAAAUCAAAAUCACCAGAAAAGCCAGUCUCCGCCACCACCACAAAAAUUUUCUCUAUCUCCUUCUCCCUUUUGUCUCCACUCUCUCUUCUCUAUGAUUUUGAUUUGUUUAUUUGAUUGAUUGAUCGAAUAAAUACAGAUAAUAGAUAUACUCAAUCCUUCUUAUUGUGUUGUCAUGUUGAGUUAGAAAUUUUUGAUUGAUGAUGUUGUUAUAUCGAGUUAUAAAAUUUUAAUUGACAAUGUUGUCAUGUUAGAGUUAGAAAAAUUUUCUCUGCAUAAUGUGGUUUAGUUUCUCUUUAACAUGCUUUUCCUAAUUUCUGGACAGAACACUGUUAUACAAUAAUUAAUUCAUAAUUAGUCUCUUCGCUCUAAGUAUAAUUAAGAUGUGUAUGCAUGUUUUAAUCAAAUUGCGUGUUAAUAUUGAUAAAAUGGUUGGAUAAUUAAUUGUUACGCUCUUAAUGCUUGUGCUGUAUCCGAGCUUGCGUAUCGGCUCAGUUUAUUUCUUUCUUUGUUUAGUUUAUUAAUUUAUCUGAAUAGUUGUUACAAGAAACUCACUCGCAGUUCGGUAAUUAUGACGUCUUUGAUAAUGUUUAUUGCAACCAGGAAACACUGUAACAAUGGAUCCAAAAUCAACAAUUGUGGUUCCUGAAGAUAGGCAUGGACUCUAUGCAAUUGAUGUUUUAGAUCCUGACUUGGUAUUCUUGAUUUAAACUGAGUUGUGUGAACUGCAUUGCUGAUGGAUGACAAAUUGAUUGGUCUAAUUCUGUAUCCAUUUUGUGAUUCAGGUACAUCUCAUUUGUGAGGCUGUGGAUAAUGGGCAGUGGAGUGCGAUAUGUUUUUGUUAUGUAAAAAACAAGUAAUGGCAACAAACCAUUCAUUCCUCAAUCCAUCGUCAGCGGCAUCACUCCUUCAACCUACACAGUAACUUGAACAUGAUCGAAGGAAUGUGCAGCUUCAGCCUAUCCUUGGGAAAUAAACCUAAAUUGAAAGAGCAUAUGCAAUAAUGUGUUGGUCAUGCUGAGGAGAUUAAAAAGCUUGCUAAAGUUCACACUCAGGUUUUUGAAGUAAAAUAAUUAAUGGUUUUUUUAUCAUCAUUUCUUCUUUCCUGAUGUUUUAUUUUUCAUCAUAGGAAGUCACUGAUAACUUGAUUUUGAAGUUGAUAGAGGACUUAAUAAUAUGAUAAUAUCAUUAGAGUGAAAAAUCUAGCUGCGUCCUUCUCUCAUAAUAUGAUGAUAUUUGCCCUUCUCUGGCCUAUGUCCACUUUGCAGCAUCUCUGUCUUCAAGUCAUUAAUUUUUCCAAGUUUCAUGGUCCUCGCCCUGUCAGACGGAAUCGAGUUAAAGCUUAUUUAUAUAGUUUACCAUUGCUACGAAGGAAAAGAGUAUGAAAAGGUAUGUUUGCAUCAUAUUCUUUUGUCCAAGUUUCUUUGGAUUGCAAUACACAACAUUUGCAAAAAUAAUUAUUGGUAUGUUUAUGCGGAUAAAUGAUUUGGUUAUGAUUGACAUAUCUCUGAAAAUCACAUCAUAUUGACAUGGUCAUUAGUAUAGGUUUGUCGGUAAUAUAUUUAGUAGGAUUACACCACAUUUUGUUAUGAAAUACAAAUGGAAAAUAGGAUUCCAUCUGACAAAUGGGAAUAUAUACUAGCCUCUAUUAUUUUUCAUUUCUUUCAUACUUUAAGUUUUAUCUUUUGUGGCAGAUUUGGCUUCAUUUAUCAAGUAUAAAAGAUAUAUGAGUAAAUAUUCGUUGAAUCCAUUGUUGCAUGAUCCCCAUAGGAUCUACCUUUGAUAACUUGAGAGUGUUGACCACUUGGUAAAUAGUAGUUUCUUCCUCUUUUAUAUUUACUAUGUUUUAUGGUUCUAUAAAUGGAAUGUUAAUUUGAUUGUGAAUGAGGAAGCCACAAAUAAUGAUCUUUGUUUAGUUUUAUAUUGGAUAUACUCUUCAAUUUUUCUUUUUUACCUUUUGUUUUGAUUUCAAGUAUUUUUUAUUCUGCAUUCUGUUUUGAUGUUAUUAUAUUUGCAUUUAUGGUUCUUUAUUACUUUUGAUCAAAUUAUAUGCAUAUGGUUCAUAAAUGAAGAAGACUACACUAGGUGUUGUUUUUUAUCUCAAUAUGAAAUCAAUUGGUUGAUUGCAUGAUAGUGUAAUGACAUAAGAAGUUACAAACUUGAUAUGGAAGACUCUGAGGUCCGCAAAAGGAAUGAGUCACCAACUUAGUCACCUUAGAUAAGAAUCUAGAAAAAAAUUCUGUUAGAAUAUGAGUCAUUGUUUUAUGCCUGUUAUCUUAAGAAACAUUCAUAUCAUCUCAUGUACACCUUAUGAAAAAUGGAACGAAGGGGUAAAAUGUUGAAGAAAUUAGUUAAUGCUAGGACGAAUCUUUAGUCUUUCAAGUUUCAACCACUAUUUUUAUGUGUCUAAGCUCAAUUCUCAUUCCCCUGCUUUUCAAUGCAUUCAGUUUACAUCAAAUAGUUUACAUCAGUUUACAUUAGAUAAUCUUUAGAUGUAUUUAUGCAAAUUCCAUUUUAUUAUCCCUAUCUAAAAUGUUGUAUGUCAUCGAUCUACAUGUUUCCUUCGGGGUUUCCUUAUAUGCUUAACCCCCAAAUUGUGGAUGUUUGUCUUUGAACGAAUAUCUUAUUAAUAUUAACUCAUGUGGCAAUGUGUCACUGCAAAUGAAUGAAGCAGAGAACAAGUACACAAAGUUAUAUUAAUUCACGCAUGCAUAUUAAUAGCUAUGAACUGAUAUGGAAGAUUCAAAGGUAUGAUAUUUCAAAUGAUAAUGCUAUUCAUUGUCUGAUGUGGCUCUUCUUUUUUCCGUUUUGAAGAAUUUGCUCAUAUUUUGUCCAUAACUCAAUUUCAAAUUUUCCUGUUAUUAUAUCUUAAGUUUAAUGCUGAGGACUGCCUAUGAUAUUUUCCAAACUUCAAAAGACAUUUUUAUUAAGUUCUAUUUUCUUUUAACAUAUUAAGUUCUCAUUAUAUGCUUUGAUGUUGUAGUUUCAUGGUGAGGAUAUCCAACAGGUGUUAGUAUAUAGAUUGAUUACUAUGACCCAUUUACAGAUGAUUGGGUCUGAUCAGUUUACUCUCUUGCAAAGUUCAAGUGAUGCACUCUCUUUCACUCAUUAAUUCCAAUUAAUAUUUGCAUAAGGAUCUCUACACAAUUUAAAGAAAUGACAUCUGAAAUAUAUUCUUAUUAAUUUAUAGGAUAUGCCCCUGUUGUGUUGAUAAAAAUCCAUAUUUUUUUUUUCUUUCUUUUAUCCACUAUCGACUUGCAAACUUGAAGGUGGUGUAAAUCUGAAUAUUUGAGUACCAUUACUUUACCUUUUUCUUUCUUUGUUUUUUCCUUUUUCCAGUUUAAUUAUGCUUAAAAGGCCAUUAACUCUAUUGAGUACCAUUACUUUAUGUUUUUUUUAUAUCUCAUUCUUUAUUCAUUUUCAUAUUCGUUAUUUUACGGGACUUUCGGAACAUAUUUUUUCUGCAGUGAUGUUGCUAUUCAACCAACAACCACGAUAAAAAAGGGCAAUAACCAUUCAGACCAUGGAUUCAAAUUGUGGUCCACGUCCGCAAUUGUGCCGCAAUAUUGCUGAUGGUAGCCUUUACAGCUGCAUCGCACUGCAAUUGCAGCGUGAUUUUCAAUCCUGUGUGCGGCCACAUCAAGAACUGCAUCAGACGAUUUCAACUAUAUUUGUUCAAAUUUUCUCACAAAAAUUCAAAAUUUAGUACUCAAAUUUCAAUCAACUUUAGAUCUAAUAAAAAAAUUUACAUUUAACGGUUUCUCAAUUUUGUAUUUCUAGCACCUUUCAAUUAGUAUUUACGAAGUAAACUAAAAUUGUGCUAUAUAUGGUGAGGAAAUAGUGUAUUAUCACACUGGUGCUACUUAGAGUAAUUUGUGGAAAUAUAAAAUUAUUUCAUACUGCUUAGUAA